GUGUGCCACAAACACACACACACACACACCCUCAAUGUAUUUUUUUCUUUCUCUCGGAUAACACACACACACUUCUCCCUCAUUCCACACACACACACACGCACACACCCUCCAUCUACAGAGAUCGGAGAUCUCUCUUCUCCCAAACACACACACACACACACAGAGAUUGGUGAUCUCUCUUCUCCAUUCUCCGAUCUCUCUUCUCCCUUCUCCGAUCUCUCUUCUCCCAAACACCCACAUACAAAGAGAGAUCUCCGAUCUCUCUUCUCCCAAACACACACACACACACACAGAUCUCUCGAUCUCUCUUCUCCCUUCGCCGUUGAUCGUGGCUCUGGCGAAGUCAGAGUUGGCUCAGUCGUCUCUGGCGGUGCGCCGCUGAGCAAGGAUCACGUUCAGUCAUCUGGUUCGUCUUCGUCUUCGUCAGGUUUUUGGGACGAAAUCGGCCCGGGAAUAGGCACACCGUCUCCGGCGUUCUUCUCCGACGUCGCCUCGGAGUCCGAUUGCACCAAACUCAAAAAAAUUUCGCCGAUAUUUCCAAAAUAUCGCAAUAUUUGGCCGAAAACCAUUCGGAUACCACUUAGAAUAUCCAUCACCCGAAAAACCGAUAAUAUCGGCGAUAUUUCGCCGAUAUUAUCGGCAUUUUCUUCCAUGAUCGUAAGCUUCUUUUCAUUUGGCAGUUGUUUUUGUUCUUUAUAUAAUUGAAACCCUUCCUAGCUAUCAAUUUAAGCUCUCAUAUAUUGUCAAUAGGUUAAUAUAUAUAUAUAUAUAUAUAUAUAUAUAUAUAUAUAUGUAUGUAAACUCUCAAUAUUAAAAACAAAGAAGAGCUUGGCUCCUUAAGGUUGAGGAGGAGGUUAUGUAUAUAAACUCUCAAUAUUAAAAACGGAGAAGAGCUUGGCUCCUUAAGGUUGAGGAGGAGGUCCUCCUCAAAAUACUUAAGUUUAGUCAAUCAAUUGUAGUAAAAGAACGGUUCGUAAUGCAUUUACCAAAUCUAUCCAUAUAUUUUUAUACAAUUCAAUUACUCAACAAUUUUAGUUUUAUUAUUAUUUUUUUUGUGGAGUUGAUGUUUACAGAGUGACGUAUAUAUAAUAUGAACCGUUCUUAUCAUAAGCACGAUAUUCUUUGAAUACGCAACGAAGUACUUUAAGGAGAAAUUUCUCCUCAAUCUAAGGAGCCAAGUGUUUUUCUUAAUAAGGACCAUUUCUGGUUUGUUCAACUUUUCCACAUCUGAUAGUUCAGUUAUUUGGUCAUAUUAAACAAUAAUUAGGGAGUUAUGUCUUAUUAUUAGUGAUCAUGUAUACACAAAAUAGAUGUUUCUACUGAAA